CAUUCUAUCCUCCAUGCGCUUAACCUCUUGAAGGGGCUCUGACCCCUGAUUCCUAUCCAGAUGGUUCAAUUCCGAACUGCAGUCAGGGAUGGAAAACUGCAGGCAAAAUCGGAACCAGUCAUAUUCUCUCACUGACUGUGGGCCUUCGGCAGUUCAUGGGGGCAGGGCGGCGGCAGCAAAGGAGGAGCAUCACUCGAGAAUAACUAGAGUAGGGUAGAGCAGAGUUUUGAACAUGGACACCCUUUAUGCAGAUAACACAUUUGUUAUGCUCAAGAGACCAAUGUCCUCAACCGGGAUGUAAGAACCCAGGAAGACAGCUACAUGCAGUUCAGACUACUCUAUCCAUGACUCUAGGAUCCCAGCCAUGCCUGGCUAAGCUCACUCCCUCAAUUCCCGCUUUAUUUCUGAUCCUUCUGUAUGCUACCCUCAUUCCUGACCGGAGCUCUUUUUUUUUUUAUUACCUGUGCCCUUCGUUUGCAAUAAUGUCGCUCCAGAGUCUUAAACCAAUAUCUUGUCUCCACUCUUCACCUCUCAGUCGUACAUGUCAGUCCCUCAUAGCAUCCUAGUUAGGCCAGUAUCCUCGCAACAUCAUCAGAUAUAAUGCUGUUGGUACAUUGGGUCCGAAACGCCAAGCCUGAAUUUGAGCAUCCUUCCCCUGCUUCCUUACUAAGCGUGGGCUAGGAAGAAAAUGCCAUACAUGAAUGGUAGAGUAUCAUCGUCUGCCUUCCUCCACAGAGUUGGAUUUUUUGCGGGGAGGAGCGGGUCACAGGGAGAAGUACAAGCGAGGGUCUUAGAAUAGUGGACCUGGCUAGGGAUUUAGCUCAGUGGUAGAGCGCUUGCCUAGCAAGCGCAAGGCCCUGGGUUCGGUCCCCAGCUCCGGAAAAAAGAAAAAGAAAAAAAAAAGAAUCAAGGCUAGAAUAGUGGACCUGCUGGCCAGGGUACUCUGCACAUGGGUACCAGUGGUUUCAUGGCAUCUGCUGGUGGCUGCUUAUUAACACUACAGGUAACUUUCUCCAUUCUUCACAGUGCUCUUGGAAGCUAGGGACCGUCCCUAAACAUAACAAAUCUUCGAUUAACUCAUCAACUAUUAUGGCUCUUGUCUAAAUACUAAUUAAGGGACUGGAGAGAUGACUCAGUGGUUAAGAGCACUGGCUGACUUCCAGAGGUCCUGAGUUCAAUUCCCAGCAACCACAUGGUGGCUCACAACCAUGAGUAAUGGGAUCCGAUGCCCUCUUCCGGUGUGUCUGAAGACAGCUAUAGUGUAACCCUAUGCAUAAGAAUCUCCUCAGGUGUUUCCUCACAGCCAUCAAGAGUGGACAUUGAAGGGUCUUUCACCAAAUGAGUCAGGACUAAGUAAUGCUGACAAGGUCAUCCCACCUGAUACUUCUCCUGCACUCGUCCAUCUCCCUAACACACUCGUCUGCUCUGACUUCAUCCAUCAAACUCCUACCUAUCCUUCAAAACCCAGAUCCAACACAGUCUCCGUAAUAAACUUUCCGUGGGACUUCAACAAUCAACUGUUCUCUCCUACGUUCUCACAGGAGCUGAGACUCAUGCUGUUGGGUUGUCAGUGUCCUUGAAAAGUGAGGUGCUUUCCCUUAACGCUGGGGCCUGAGGCAGAAAGAUCAAGAGGCUAUGCUUAGCCUGGGCUUUUAUAUUGAGACCUUGUCUAAAUAGCAGAAAACAAACAAACAAAAACACUUUCUUUUUUUCUGUCUGGGAUGUCCAAUUGCAGUAAUAAAGUUCUCAAGACUU